rnacentral:rRNA from 1 species
AUUGAACGCUGGCGGCAGGCCUAACACAUGCAAGUCGAGCGGCAGCGGAAAGUAGCUUGCUACUUUGCCGGCGAGCGGCGGACGGGUGAGUAAUGUCUGGGAAACUGCCUGAUGGAGGGGGAUAACUACUGGAAACGGUAGCUAAUACCGCAUAACGUCGCAAGACCAAAGAGGGGGACCUUCGGGCCUCUUGCCAUCAGAUGUGCCCAGAUGGGAUUAGCUAGUAGGUGGGGUAACGGCUCACCUAGGCGACGAUCCCUAGCUGGUCUGAGAGGAUGACCAGCCACACUGGAACUGAGACACGGUCCAGACUCCUACGGGAGGCAGCAGUGGGGAAUAUUGCACAAUGGGCGCAAGCCUGAUGCAGCCAUGCCGCGUGUAUGAAGAAGGCCUUCGGGUUGUAAAGUACUUUCAGCGGGGAGGAAGGCGUUGUGGUUAAUAACCACAGCGAUUGACGUUACCCGCAGAAGAAGCACCGGCUAACUCCGUGCCAGCAGCCGCAGUAA